UCGAGAGCAUCCAUGCGAACAUGCACGCACGCACACACACACAGCUCCAUGAGGGCAGAGGGAGGCAGCAGGUUUCUCUAGUGUGGGCAUUAAUUACAUGACCAGGCAUCGACAUGGCAAAGAAGACCUGUAAUCCGGACACAACCUGCUCGUCAGCUGGACAAGUCCUCAGCCAAAGCCAGACACAGAAUCCCAACCUGUAAAAUGGAGUAGCGAUGUUCCUCCCCAGUACGACCCGGCAGUGAGUCCAGCUGUCUGGAUAUCAGUGGUAGUCGUAGUGAACGGCUCCAUCCUGGCAAUGUUUCUAAGGUUCAUCAUAUACAAAAUGCAGGCAAGGCACAAUCACACUGCAGGUGAACCAGAGGCAGGACUUAUCCCUCCAGCUGUGGAUGGAGACUGUACAGCAGCUGUGGUACAGAGAGAGGAGGAGGCCCCUCCAUCCUGUCCUCAGCUGAACAGUGGGCCCCAAACAUGCUUCAGGCAGGAGGUGUCUACCUACAGCGGUGCUUCGGGGUGUGGCUCUCUUGGGGAGGUCGGUGGCAUGUUCAUGUGCAAUGGUCUGAGGGAGCAUUGGAUCCCACUUCCUGCCACUGAGCUGGGGGAUGCUGCUUUGGUGACCACCAAGACUGUGCAAUGCUCCGACUGAGAGGACAUCAUUUUGACAUAUAAAACCACAUGGCCAUUGUUAAGCAAAAGGACUUGUUCUUUACAGUAUUGUUGGUACAGUAUAAUAAUUUAGAUGUAAAAAUACACAUUUGUGAUGGUGUAGGCAUAAAGACAAACCUGUAAGCCUAUACUGUGGGAGACAACUAUGUACUUGUGUUUCUAUACUUAAAUAUUUUCAAAGACAAUAAGACAAAUCUGAGUAGAUUGGGUUAACUCCAAUAAUAACAGGGCUGUUAUAGGAUAUUUCUAUUUCAACUCUUAUUCUGUGUAGAUUUUCCUGGUAGUUUUAGAAUGAAGGUAUUAUCUGGACAAUUAUAUGGCUAUAUAUUGUGCAUGAUGUGGAAAAACAAUAACAUGGAAUUCAUCAAAUGCUGCGAAAUGUUUUGAUGCAAUUUGGCGAUAUGUCAAUGUAAAACCAGUUUUAAAUAUUACUUUAAAAUGAGCAAAAAUUAGGAAUAACAUUUACAUGAACUUUAUAAUUCACUUUUAGAUAAUGUUGUCAUGUAUUGUCAUAUUAUGUCUUGUUCCUGUUCUUUCUCUUCACUCCGUUUCCCUCUGCUGGUCAUAUUAGGU